GUGUCGCAUAUGCUAUAAUGACUAUACACAUAUGUUGUUUCAAAUGUUUUAGCUAUUUUCAGAUGUAUGUUGCAAGCAUUUUUAUAUGGAUGUUGCAUAUGUUGUAGUGGUUAUACACGUACUGCAAUUGUAUGUGCAUUUUUAUUUUUGUUGUUGCAAUAGUAUUGUUUGGCUGUUACAACAAGUUUUUUUAUUGCAUUAGUCCUUUUUUAUGUUGCAUCUCGCAUUGUGCUUUUGUUUUCUGUUUGUUGCAGUAGCUUUGGUUUGCUGUUGCAAUAAUAAUUUUUCUUUAUUGCAUUAGUCUUUUUUUUAUGUUGCAUCUUAUCGCUUUGUUUCUGUUGUUGCAGUAGCUUUAGUUUGUUUUUGCAACAAUAAUUUUUCUUUGUUGCAUUAGUCUUUUUUUCUAAUGUUACAUCUCAUCGCUUUGUUUUUGUUAUUGCAGUAGCUUUAGUUUGCUGUUGCAAUAUGUAUUUUUUUUGUUGCAUUAGUAUUUUUCCUGAUGUUGCAUCUUAUAUUGUAGUUAGCUUUGUUCUUGUUGUUGCAGUAGAUUUAGUUUGCUGUUGUAACAUGUAAUUUUUCUUUGUUGCACUAAAUUUUUGUUGUUGUUGCAGUCGCUCUUGUUAUGUUGUAGUAGAGUUAUUCUAAAAUUUCAUCUCAUUGCACUUUGUUUGAUGUUGCAAACAAUUUUCUGAUGGAAGUGUGUUGGGAGCGGGCGAGGUUGGGUCUAGACGGGUUCCGAGCGUGUUGGGAGCAGGCGGGUUCCGAUCUUUGUUCUGUCCGUGCGGGUGAGGCAGGCUUGAUCCCGUGCGGUACGGGAGGCGCGGUACAAAAGACGCGAUGUGCUUGUGUCCAUGGCACCAUGCUAUCGAACAGUAUGCAAGUGUUUUACUUGUCUCUAAACAUACGUUGCA
rnacentral:lncRNA from 1 species